CUUGGGUCGACCCAACCUUUCUUUGGGUCGACCCAACCUUGGGUCAGCUCAAACUUUUCUUGGGUCGACUCAAACCUUGGGUCAGCUCAAACUUUUCUUGGGUCGACCCAACUUUCAGAAAAUUCAGAACCUUGGGUCGACUCAACCAUUUCUUGGGUCGACCCUCUCAGUAACCACAGAAACCUCAAUUUUCAGCCUUCCAUCCCUUGGGUCGACUCAACCUUUCUUUGGGUCGACUCAAGGUUUACUUGGGUCGACUCAACUUCUUCUUGGGUCGACCCUCUCAGAAAAUCCAGAGAACCAUUUUUGAGUUGUUUGAGGAUCUUGAUGUUUGGGUCGACUCAUGCUUUCCUUGGGUCGACCCAACUCACUGUUCAUCUAUGCCAUAUUUGCAGAAGUGUGCCAAAUGAUUUCUUGAUGUGCCGGGGUCGAUCUAAUCAUCCUUUAGGUCGACUCAAUUCACACUUUGCUGCAUUCUCAAGGUUAGAUUCAUUCAAAUGAACAAUGAAAUAUAUCUAUAUCAAUUUAUACAAAUAUA
rnacentral:lncRNA from 1 species